GGUGCGCUGGGGGGUCAGGGCUGGGGAUUGGCGGCUGUUUAGAGGUCACAAGCCCUCCCAGCGCUGCCGCUGUAUUAAACCGCUCCCCGGGAAAAGGCGGGAGGGGGGGCUGGUCUCUCAGGAGGGGAAAAGGAGAAGGGGCGGGGAGACGGUCUGCCUGGCCCCGGGGACCUCCUUAACUUGGGCUGGAGAGGGCGAAAGCGCCCCCGGGGCAGGCUGGGAGAUGUAGUUCCUGAUUCUCCCUGGACCGGAAGUGACGUUGAAUGGGAGAGAAGAAGCCAAGUUGCAAACGCGCGCGGGCCGCUCCGGCUCUGCCUGGCUCGCGCGGGGCCGUUGGAGCCUCUCCCGGGGCCGGAGAAGGGUGUGUGACUGAGAUCAGGGCUCCUAUCGUACUGAGCAUGGCCGUGUUCUGCCAGGCGCUGCGGAGACCCCAACUGAGAUCUGGACCCUGUCCUGCCAGGCACUGAAGAGAUCCGAGGUGAGAUCAGACCCCACUGUUGUGCCAGGCUGCAGGAUGUCGUCCAUGUUUCGCUCCAGCUCAUCCCAUCCUCCCAUGGGACAGGGAAGGGAAACGGCUGCAGAGGAGCCCGUUCAGAGUUUCCAGUUUCCAAACCUAAUGUCAUUUUGCAGCUGGAAUGAGGGGAAGAGUCGUGGGUUUCAGAUCUCCAAGUCUCUGAGAAAGAAGUGCUCCUGAGAGCUGCCUACACAGGUGUUGGGAUGGUGAGUGGUAACGAGGAGGAGAAACCCCAGCAGGAAGAUGCUGAGCAAGUAGAAGCACAUGGGACGUUAUUAGGAAGAUCCAAAGGGAAUGUUUCCGGGAUUUGUGCACGCCCAGAAAAAGCAAAAGCCUGUGAGACUGAGCAGAGGCCAGAGGGAAACCUCAGUAGCUUCUCAGACCUUAUUUCAAGUGAGAGAAUCAACUUGGAAGACACACGUUACACAUACCAUGAGUGUGGGAAACGCUUCAAUUGGAGCUCACACGUUAUGAGACAUCAUAGAAUCCA